AGGGUUUCAGACGCCGCUAUGCACCUAGAAUACACCAAUCCAAACUGUUAGAAGACGGAGCUUUCGGCGGCGGCGAGUUUCUUCUCGUCGGUCUGUAGCACGCGGCGACUGAGAAGAGAUUGUUGAAGGCGGCGGCGAUCGAAACUAUUGGUCGCCGAAACGGUGCAAGUCGAAGGAGUGCCGACCCAUCUGUGCAAGGUGCGGCGGCUGAGGAGAGUCCGUUGAAGGCGCGGCGGCCGAUCUGUGCAAGGUAACGAAGUUUUCCGGCGGCGGUGAUAUUCUCGUUGGUCUUUAGCAGGAGGCGGCAAAGACAAAUCUGUUGAAGGCGGCGGCGGAGGCUAGCCGAUUUGUACAAGGAGGCGACGGCACAGAUUUUUGCUGAAGUCGAUUUUUCUUCAGGCGAUUCAAAAUAGAUGUGAGUAGCUCAAAACAUAAAGAAAAUGAUGGCCCUAGUAAUGAGCGAUUUGAAACUGAUGAUGCCCAAGUUAAUGCGGCUACAAUUAUCGAUGAGUGUGUGCAAGCUACUAGGAUGAAAAAUAAAGGAAAGGAACUCUACAAGACAAACGUUUUAUCUUUUAUUUCUUUGAACCUUGAUCAACAUCUUUCAAUUUAACAUCAUCUUUCGAACUUUCAUGGGUACACAUCAUAUAACGUAAAAUAACAGUACCACUACCAUCUUUUGCUUC